UACGAAGGGUGCAAACGUUGCUCGGAAUUAUUGGGCGUAAAGCGCACGUAGGCGGUUUUGUAAGCCAGAUGUGAAAGCCCCGGGCUUAACCUGGGAAUGGCAUUUGGGACUGCAAGGCUUGAGUGCGGCAGAGGAGACUGGAAUUCCUGGUGUAGCAGUGAAAUGCGUAGAUAUCAGGAGGAAUACCGAUGGCGAAGGCAGGUCUCUGGGCUGACACUGACGCUCAUGCACGAAAGCGUGGGGAGCAAACAGG
rnacentral:rRNA from 1 species